UAGGGAAUCUUCCGCAAUGGACGCAAGUCUGACGGAGCAACGCCGCGUGAGUGAAGAAGGAUUUCGGUUCGUAAAACUCUGUUGUUAGAGAAGAACAGCGCAUAGAGUAACUGUUAUGCGUGUGACGGUAUCUAACCAGAAAGCCACGGCUAACUACGUGCCAGCAGCCGCGGUAAUACGUAGGUGGCAAGCGUUGUCCGGAUUUAUUGGGCGUAAAGCGAGCGCAGGCGGUCAAUUAAGUCUGAUGUGAAAGCCCCCGGCUCAACCGGGGAGGGUCAUUGGAAACUGUUUAACUUGGGUGCAGAAGGGGAGAGUGGAAUUCCAUGUGUAGCGGUGAAAUGCGUAGAUAUAUGGAGGAACACCAGUGGCGAAGGCGACUCUCUGGUCUGUAACUGACGCUGAGGCUCGAAAGCGUGGGUAGCAAACAGG
rnacentral:rRNA from 1 species